rnacentral:rRNA from 1 species
GACGAACGCUGGCGGCGUGCUUAACACAUGCAAGUCGAACGGAAAGGCCCUGCUUGCAGGGUACUCGAGUGGCGAACGGGUGAGUAACACGUGGGUGAUCUGCCCUGCACUUCGGGAUAAGCCUGGGAAACUGGGUCUAAUACCGGAUAGGAGCCAUUUUUAGUGUGAUGGUUGGAAAGUUUUUCGGUGUAGGAUGAGCUCGCGGCCUAUCAGCUUGUUGGUGGGGUAAUGGCCUACCAAGGCGGCGACGGGUAGCCGGCCUGAGAGGGUGGACGGCCACAUUGGGACUGAGAUACGGCCCAGACUCCUACGGGAGGCAGCAGUGGGGAAUAUUGCACAAUGGGCGCAAGCCUGAUGCAGCGACGCCGCGUGGGGGAUGACGGCCUUCGGGUUGUAAACUCCUUUCGCUAGGGACGAAGCUUUUUGUGACGGUACCUAGAUAAGAAGCACCGGCUAACUACGU